CAGCCGCCGCGGGAAUACGUAGGUGGCAAGCGUUGUCCGGAAUUAUUGGGCGUAAAGGGCUCGCAGGCGGUUUCUUAAGUCUGAUGUGAAAGCCCCCGGCUCAACCGGGGAGGGUCAUUGGAAACUGGGAAACUUGAGUGCAGAAGAGGAGAGUGGAAUUCCACGUGUAGCGGUGAAAUGCGUAGAGAUGUGGAGGAACACCAGUGGCGAAGGCGACUCCCUGGUCUGUAACUGACGCUGAGGAGCGAAAGCGUGGGGAGCGAACAGGAUUAGAGACCCCAGUAGUCCCUGUCUCUUAUAC
rnacentral:rRNA from 1 species